rnacentral:rRNA from 1 species
CUCCGGUUGAUCCCGCCGGACCCGACUGCUAUCAGAGUGGGACUAAGCCAUGCGAGUCAACAUAGCAAUAUGUGGCAUACGGCUCAGUAACACGUAGUCAACAUGCCCAGGGGACGUGGAUAACCUCGGGAAACUGAGGAUAAACCGCGAUAGGUCAUCACUUCUGGAAUGGGUAAUGACUUAAAUCUAUAUGGCCCCUGGAUUGGACUGCGGCCGAUCAGGCUGUUGGUGAGGUAAUGGCCCACCAAACCUGUAACCGGUACGGGCUCUGAGAGGAGGAGCCCGGAGAUGGGCACUGAGACAAGGGCCCAGGCCCUAUGGGGCGCAGCAGGCGCGAAACCUCUGCAAUAGGCGAAAGCUUGACAGGGUUACUCUGAGUGAUUUCCGUUAAGGAGAUCUUUUGGCACCUCUAAAAAUGGUGCAGAAUAAGGGGUGGGCAAGUCUGGUGUCAGCCGCCGCGGUAAUACCAGCACCCCGAGUGGUCGGGACGUUUAUUGGGCCUAAAGCAUCCGUAGCCGGUUCUACAAGUCUUCCGUUAAAUCCACCUGCUUAACAGAUGGGCUGCGGAAGAUACUAUAGAGCUAGGAGGCGGGAGAGGCAAGCGGUACUCGAUGGGUAGGGGUAAAAUCCGUUGAUCCAUUGAAGACCACCAGUGGCGAAGGCGGCUUGCCAGAACGCGCUCGACGGUGAGGGAUGAAAGCUGGGGGAGCAAACCGGAUUAGAUACCCGGGUAGUCCCAGCUGUAAACGAUGCAGACUCGGUGAUGAGUUGGCUUAUUGCUAACUCAGUGCCGCAGGGAAGCCGUUAAGUUUGCCGCCUGGGGAGUACGGUCGCAAGACUGAAACUUAAAGGAAUUUGGCGGGGGAGCA